rnacentral:rRNA from 1 species
AACGAACGCUGGCGGCGGGCUUAACACAUGCAAGUCGAACGGAAAGGCCCUGCUAGUUUGCGGUGCCCGGUUGCCGAACGCGUACGGAACACGUGUGUAACCUGCCCUUCACUUUCGUAUAACUUCAGGUAACUGGGGUUACUCCCGUAUAGGAUCUCCUGUUGCAUUGAGAGCAGUGGAACUUCUCGGCGGUUGGGGAUGGACUCGCGGCUUAUCAGCUUGCUGGUGGGGUAGUGGCUUACCAAGCCUUUGACGGGUAGGCGGCCUGGGAGGGUGACCGGCGACAUGGGGACUGAGAGACGGCGCAGACGCGAACGGGAGGCAGCAGUGGGGAAUAUGGCACAAUGGGCGGAAGCCUGAUGCAGCAACGCCGCGUGCGGGAUGACGGUCUGCGGGGAGUGAACCGCUGUAGCCUGUGACGAAGCGGGAGUGACGGUAAUGGGUAAAGAAGCACCGGCUAACUUCGUG